UACGUAGGUGGCAAGCGUUAUCCGGAAUUAUUGGGCGUAAAGAGCGCGCAGGUGGUUGAUUAAGUCUGAUGUGAAAGCCCACGGCUUAACCGUGGAGGGUCAUUGGAAACUGGUCGACUUGAGUGCAGAAGAGGGAAGUGGAAUUCCAUGUGUAGCGGUGAAAUGCGUAGAGAUAUGGAGGAACACCAGUGGCGAAGGAGGCUUCCUGGUCUGUAACUGACACUGAGGCGCGAAAGCGUGGGGAGCAAACAGGAUUAGAUACCCGU
rnacentral:rRNA from 1 species